CUGUCACAUGGAGGAAAAUAUAUAUUCCCUUGUAUUAUCUUCCAAGAAUCUCCAGAAGAAAAAGACAAGAAUGGAUAAAGAGACUCCCUUGGGCCACUGCAAGCUAAAGGAACAGAAGUGGUGAUACAGAAAGAAGAACAACAGAAAUUACCCUUUUUGGCUGACAGGGCCACCAAUGCAGCAGUUCUUAUGAAGACCUGGAAAUCUGGGCAGCAAUGGACCCUGAGCUCACUGAGACUGGAGGCCACUUGGAGGCUAACCUAACAACAUAGAAGCAUGACAGACUUGAAGACCACUGUGAAUGAAGGAAGUCAUCCAUGACCCCAAGUAUUCACUGCAAACAAGAGCUUAAGUCUGCCAUGGAUUUUUCCCCCCAGGCAGUCCUGCUCUCCAGUGAUGCAAUACUGAAUAUUCAAAAAGGUCAAAUCAAGAAGGCAGUCAUGUACUUUUGGAACUAGUAAACAAAUAGCACAACCAAGAUGUUAUGAGGCUUCAACUGUGAGUGAAGUUUUGCCAAGAGAACCAACAUCACUCAAGAUUAAAAGGCAAGAGACCACCAAUUAGAUGGCAUCAUCUUUCCAUCCUGACAAAGUGGCUGCUGUACACAGGCCCACUGGGUUGACUCGUGCAACAAAAAGAUGCCAAUGUAAUACCACGCCUUUGCUAUACAACAAAUGAUUUGGAUGCACGACAAAAGUUUUUUGGGUCUGGCAUGUGCAUCCAUCCUUCCAGGCUUACAGUUCACCAUCUUUAUAAAAGAGAAUAUACUUCCACAUAUGUGUGCUAGGACCUCCACGGUCUGGUUAACUUUUAGGUACGUCACUGCCCACAUGUAUAGACAUGCUCGACAGCACAUUCAUAUCCUCUGUGCAAUACAGACUUGUUCACUAUCA